AUACGAGGGGUGCAAGCGUUGUUCGGAUUUAUUGGGCGUAAAGCGAGUGUAGGCGGUUUGACAAGUCGAAUGUGAAAUCCCGAGGCCCAACCUCGGAACUGCAUCCGAAACUGUCAGGCUAGAGUCCCGGAGAGGGUGGCGGAAUUCCCGGUGUAGGGGUGAAAUCCGUAGAUAUCGGGAGGAACACCAGUGGCGAAGGCGGCCACCUGGACGGUGACUGACGCUGAGACUCGAAAGUGUGGGUAGCAAACAGGAUUAGAAACCCCAGUAGUCC
rnacentral:rRNA from 1 species